AUUUAACAUCAAAAAGUGUAGGAGCUG
rnacentral:piRNA from 1 species